rnacentral:rRNA from 1 species
AGAGCGAACGCUGGCGGCAGGCCUAACACAUGCAAGUCGAGCGCCCGUAGCAAUACGGGAGUGGCAGACGGGAUAGUAACACGUGGGAACGCGCCCUUCGGUUCGGAAUAACUCAGGGAAACUUGAGCUAAUACCGGAUACGCCCUUACGGGGAAAGAUUUAUUGCCGAAGGAACGGCCCGCGUCCGAUUAGCUAGUUGGUGAGGUAAUGGCUCACCAAGGCGACGAUCGGUAGCUGGUCUGAGAGGAUGACCAGCAUCACUGGGACUGAGACACGGCCCAGACUCCUACGGGAGGCAGCAGUGGGGAAUAUUGGACAAUGGGCGCAAGCCUGAUCCAGCCAUGCCGCGUGGAUGAUGAAGGCCUUAGGGUUGUAAAGUCCGUUUUAACGGGGAAGAUAAUGACGGUACCGUAGAAUAAGCCCCGGCUAACUUCGCGCCAGCAGCCGC